AACUUUCGGCAACGGAUCACUUGGCUCUCGCAUCGAUGAAGAACGCAGCGAAAUGCGAAAAGUAAUGGGAAUUGCAGAAUUCAGUGAAUCAUCGAAUCUUUGAACGCACCUUGCGCCCCUUGGACAUUCCUAGGGGCAUGCCUGUUUGAGUAUCAUGAACACAUCAACUCUCUACGGUUUGCCGUGGUGCGCUUGGACUUUGGAGGCUUGCUGGCCCACGGUCGGCUCCUCUCAAAUGAAUCAGCUUCCCAGUGUUUGGUGGCGUCACGGGUGUGAUAACUAUCUACGCUCGCGGCAGCCUGCCUCGUAACCUUCGGAGACGGAGGUUCGCUGGAGCUCAAAAACGUCUCUCCUCAGCGAAGACCGCUUUUUUAACGUUCGAUCUCAAAUCAGGUAGGACUACCCGCUGAAUUUAAGCAUAUCAAUAAGCGGAGGCU
rnacentral:misc_RNA from 1 species